AUCUGUAUAUUUCAUAGCAAAAGUUCUUGGAGAUUGGCAGCCUUUUUUAGUUUUAUUUUCUAUUUCUCUAUACAAGUAAAGAGACAGAGAACCGUAUACAGUCUAAAUAUUAGAGUACAGAAUUUUGAGUAGCUAUUCUAAGAAUACUGUUUUGAACAAAGAUGUUACAAUAAAGUUACUCACUAUUG